rnacentral:rRNA from 1 species
CACGUAGGGGGCAAGCGUUGUCCGGAUUUAUUGGGCGUAAAGAGCUCGUAGGCGGUUUCGUAAGUCGGAUGUGAAAACUCCAGGCUCAACUUGGAGACGCCAUUCGAUACUGCGAUGACUUGAGUCCGGUAGGGGAGUGUGGAAUUCCUGGUGUAGCGGUGAAAUGCGCAGAUAUCAGGAGGAACACCGGCGGCGAAGGCGGCACUCUGGGCCGGUACUGACGCUGAGGAGCGAAAGCCAGGGGAGCAAACGGG